rnacentral:ncRNA from 1 species
UUUCGUGGAGAGAUUUGAACGAUUGCAACCACUUUAAAAAAUGCUAAAACAGA